UACGUAGGGUGCAAGCGUUGUCCGGAAUUAUUGGGCGUAAAGAGCUCGUAGGCGGUCUGUCGCGUCUGCUGUGAAAACUCAGGGCUUAACCCUGAGCUUGCAGUGGGUACGGGCAGACUAGAGUGCGGUAGGGGAGACUGGAAUUCCUGGUGUAGCGGUGAAAUGCGCAGAUAUCAGGAGGAACACCGGUGGCGAAGGCGGGUUCUCUGGGGCC
rnacentral:rRNA from 1 species